rnacentral:snoRNA from 1 species
UUCUCUGAUGAUAUAAUUUGCGAUUGAAUUCAGCACUGGAGACCCUCGCCGGGGUCUCAUAACAGUGCUGGAGAGAUGAUAUUCAAUUCUUACAUAUGCUGAAC